ACCGACUAAUGUUGAAAAAUUAGCGGAUGACUUGUGGCUGGGGGUGAAAGGCCAAUCAAACCGGGAGAUAGCUGGUUCUCCCCGAAAGCUAUUUAGGUAGCGCCUCGUGAACUCAUCUUCGGGGGUAGAGCACUGUUUCGGCUAGGGGGUCAUCCCGACUUACCAACCCGAUGCAAACUGCGAAUACCGAAGAAUGUUAUCACGGGAGACACACGGCGGGUGC
rnacentral:rRNA from 1 species